AAUCUGUGGUAUGGGAAUUUCUAAAUCAACGUCUUAAAACGCUCCCAUGCUUCAUGAAUACUUCCCCUCUAAUUGUUUAAACAUAGAAAUUUCUAUUCUUAGUUA
rfam:Gossypium raimondii Chr08_contig_586, whole genome shotgun sequence.